UACGUAGGUGGCGAACGUUAUCCGGAGUGACUGGGCGUAAAGGGUCCGUAGGCGGGAGGGCAAGUCUGACGUGAAAGCGCCCGGCUCAACUGGGCGAGUGCGUUGGAAACUGUUUUUCUUGAAUCACGCAGAGGUCGGCGGAAUUCCCGGUGUAGUGGUGGAAUGCGUAGAGAUCGGGAGGAACCUCGAAAGCGAAGGCAGCCGACUGGGGGAUGAUUGACGCUGAGGGACGAAAGCGUGGGGAGCGAACAGG
rnacentral:rRNA from 1 species